GAUGAACGCUGGCGGCGUGCCUAAUACAUGCAAGUCGAGCGAACGGACGAGAAGCUUGCUUCUCUGAUGUUAGCGGCGGACGGGUGAGUAACACGUGGAUAACCUACCUAUAAGACUGGGAUAACUUCGGGAAACCGGAGCUAAUACCGGAGAAUAUUUUGAACCGCAUGGUUCAAAAGUGAAAGACGGUCUUGCUGUCACUUAUAGCUGGAUCCGCGCUGCAUUAGCUAGUUGGUAAGGUAACGGCUUACCAAGGCAACGAUGCAUAGCCGAACUGAGAGGGUGAUAGGCCACACGGGAACGGAGACACGGUCCAUACGCCUGAGGGAGGGAGCAGUAGGGAAUGUUACGCAAUGGGCGAAAGCCUGACGGAGCAACGCCGAGUGAGUGACGAAGGUCUUCGGAUCGUAAAACUCUGUUAUUAGGGAAGAACAGAUGUGUACGUAAAUGUGCACAUCUUGACGGUACCUAAUCAGAAAGCAACGGCUAACUACGUG
rnacentral:rRNA from 1 species